UACGGGGGGAGCAAGCGUUGUUCGGAUUUACUGGGCGUAAAGGGCGCGUAGGCGGCCACCGCAAGUCGACUGUGAAAUCUCCGGGCUUAACCCGGAAAGGUCAGCCGAUACUGCGGGGCUAGAGUGCAGAAGGGGCAACUGGAAUUCUCGGUGUAGUGGUGAAAUACAUAGAGAUGUCAUAGAACACCGAUUGCGAAGGCAGCUGACGAAACUAUAACUGACACUGAGGCUCGAAAGUGCGGGGAUCAAACAGG
rnacentral:rRNA from 1 species